CCUANGGGAGGCAGCAGUGGGGAAUCUUGCGCAAUGGGCGAAAGCCUGACGCAGCAACGCCGCGUGAGCGAAGAAGGCCUUCGGGUUGUAAAGCUCUGUCAGGGGGGAAAAAGGCACCUGGGUUAAUAGCCCAAGGGCUGAUGGUACCCCCAAAGGAAGCCACGGCUAACUACGUGCCAGCAGCCGCGGUAAUACGUAGGUGGCGAGCGUUGUCCGGAAUCAUUGGGCGUAAAGAGCGCGUAGGUGGCUUGUCAGGUCCGGUGUGAAAUCCUGGGGCUUAACUCCAGGCGUGCAUCGGAAACCGGCUUGCUAGAGUCUGGGAGAGGAGAGUGGAAUUCCUGGUGUAGCGGUGAAAUGCGUAGAUAUCAGGAGGAACACCAGUAGCGAAGGCGGCUCUCUGGAACAGUACUGACACUGAGGCGCGAAAGCUAGGGGAGCGAACAGGAUUAGAUACCCUANUANUC
rnacentral:rRNA from 1 species